rnacentral:rRNA from 1 species
UGAAUACGAGACGCUAAGGCGUCGAAGUAGUGUAUGUCAUACUUCCAAGAAAAGCUUGCACUGUCAUAGAUAAAAAACGCCUGUACCAUAACCGACACAGGUGGGUAGGUAGAGUAUACUAAGGGGCGCGAGAUAACUCUCUCUAAGGAACUCGGCAAAAUAACUCCGUAACUUCGGGAGAAGGAGUGCCUUAUUCGUAAGGUUGCAAUAACAAGAUCCAAGCAACUGUUUAUCAAAAACACAGGUCUCCGCUAAGUCGUAAGACGAUGUAUGGGGGCUGACGCCUGCCCAGUGCCAGAAGGUUAAAGAAGUUGGUUAGCAAUUGCGAAGCUGAUAACUUAAGCCCUGGUGAACGGCGGCCGUAACGAUAACGGUCCUAAGGUAGCGAAAUUCCUUGUCGGGUAAGUUCCGACCCGCACGAAAGGCGUAAUGAUUUGGAUACUGUCUCGGAGAGGGGCUCGGUGAAAUAGACUUGUCUGUGAAGAUGCGGACUACCUGCACCAGGACAGAAAGACCCUAUGAAGCUUUACUGUAACUUGAAAUUGAAAUUGGACUUUAUUCGCGCAGUAUAGGUGGGAGGCGUUGAUUAUAAUCUUGUGGGAUUAUUGGAGCCAUCAGUGAGAUACCACCCUUGUAAUGUUAGAUUUCUAACUUUGAAUCAUUAUCUGGUCAAAGAACAGUUUCAGGCGGGCAGUUUGACUGGGGCGGUCGCCUCCUAAACGGUAACGGAGGCGUACAAAGGUUUCCUCUGAACGGUUAGAAAUCGUAUCUAGAGUGUAAAGGCAUAAGGAAGCUUGACUGUGAGACCUACAAGUCGAGCAGGGACGAAAGUCGGUCUUAGUGAUCUGACGGUACUGAGUGGAAAGGCCGUCACUCAACGGAUAAAAGUUACUCUAGGAUAACAGGCUGAUCUCCCCCAAGAGUUCACAUCGACGGGGAGGUUUGGCACCUUGAUGUCGGCUCAUCGCAUCCUGGGGCGGUAGUACGUCCCAAGGGUUGGGCUGUUCGCCCAUGAAAGCGGUACGCGAGCUGGGUUCAGAACGUCGUGAGACAGUUCGGUCCAUAUCCGGUGUAGGCGUUAGAAUAUUGAGAGGAGCCUUCUUUAGUACGAGAGGACCGAGAAGGACAUACCUCUGGUGUACCAGUUAUCGUGCCAACGGUAAACGCUGGGUAGCUAUGUAUGGAGUGGAUAACCGCUGAAAGCAUCUAAGUGGGAAGCCCACCUCAAGAUAAGUAUUCUCACC